rnacentral:rRNA from 1 species
UACGUAGGGUGCAAGCGUUUGUCCGGAAUUAUUGGGCGUAAAGAGCUCGUAGGCGGUUUGUUGCGUCGCUGUGAAAACUGAGGCUCAACCUCAGGCCUGCAGUCGAUACGAGCAGACUAGAGUGUUGCAGGGGGAGACUGGAAUUCCUGGUGUAGCGGUGAAAUGCGCAGAUAUCAGGAGGAACACCGGUGGCGAGGGCGGCUCUG